CACGUAGGGGGCAAGCGUUGUCCGGAUUUAUUGGGCGUAAAGAGCUCGUAGGCGGUUCGGUAAGUCGGGUGUGAAACCUCCAGGCUCAACCUGGAGUCGCCACUCGAUACUGCUGCGACUAGAGUCCGGUAGGGGAGCGUGGAAUUCCUGGUGUAGCGGUGAAAUGCGCAGAUAUCAGGAGGAACACCAAUGGCGAAGGCAGCUCGCUGGGACGGUACUGACGCUGAGACGCGAAAGCGUGGGGAGCGAACAGG
rnacentral:rRNA from 1 species